CUUUGUACACGCAAAUGCUAGCUCUCUGGAAAAUUGAAUGCGUGCCCUGGUGAAUUUUCGGUUAUUAAUUCGAAGUCUGUUUCUAUAACGUGGUGAUUGAUAUUUGUGUUGGGGAUUUGCAAUAACCAGUCGAAAGGUUCACGGGAAAUACUUAUCAACAUGGGCACUAAAACUGUUGGGAGGAAAGGGCGUGAGGGAGACAAAAAGAAAAAUGAAGUCCAUUCCUCCAAGGAUAUGACUCCCUGUGCAAAUUCAUCAGCUGUGAGUAUAGGGGAAGGUUUGACUUUGAGUAAUGAGCAUGAGGAAAAGAACACUAAGAGGCACAAGGCUAAUGGUUGUGAUUUUGAGCUAAGUGCUACUGAAACUGAGGAUGUUAGCCUAGGGGGUGACAUAGAUCUAAGUAAUCAUGAGAUAGAGAAGAAUAGGAAGAAGAAGAAAAGGAAGUCAGAGCAGAUUAAUGCUGAAUCUUAUGUAGUAUCUCAGACAGUCAGAAAGCGAAAUAAGGCAGGUGAUACUGGUGGGGAAGUUAGUGAAAGUAAAGAGGAUUUGAAGGAGGCCUGUACUGGAGUAGGGGAGAAGAUGAGCCUGCAAAAGGACGGCAAAAUAGAUCUGGAGAGCAAUUAUGAGUCUGGAGUACUAAAAGAUAGGAAAAAUAAGCACAAGAAGAAAAAGAGCAAAGAUAAAAAUGAAAAUGGAAGUGAUCACUUGGAUGAAAUUAUCACGGAUUAUGUUGAGUCUCCAAGGAAGGAGAGGAAGAAAAAGCAGCAGCAGCAGCAUCUCAAUGUUGAUUUGGAGGCUAAGUCACCAAAAGUCAUGGCUGAGACACCUGGUAAUGAAAGUAAUGCAAUUGAGGAAAAUGGCGGUAACAUUGAUUCAGCUGAAGAUGAAAACCUAGAUGCUCAUGCUCUUUAUGCAGAGGAUGGAAGAAAAGAUGAAAAGAAGAGAAAAAAGCGGAAGAGGGAGAAGGAUGUUAGGGAUACUGGGGUAAUGAUUGAUGAAAGUGAUCGAAAAGAUGUUGGAAAUGAAAGUGAAUUGGAUGGAAAUAUCAUGAAAAAUGUUGAACCUUCAAGGAAGGAGAGUAAGAAAAAGAAAAAGCAUAAUGUUUAUUUGGAAGCUGCAUCUCGGGAAAGAAUGGAUGGGAAAUUAGGUAACCAAAACAAUCAAAUGGGAGAAAAUGAAGGUAAUGAAUAUU
rnacentral:misc_RNA from 1 species